CCACCUUAUUAAUCCAUUCCCUAAUAGAACAAUGGAGGAACUAUCCUAUUCCUUCUCCCAUAAAUAUGAGGAGUAUAGAACCACCUGGGAACCUUGGUUGACAUUCUUACAGGCACCACUCCGCAAGAUUGGAGGCAGUCCUGAAGUGAGUGGUAACAGAUAGGGAGUCACCAGAUAAGGUUCAUACAAGUUGCUUAGACGAGAUCACCCACCACACAUGAGGGCUCCUAUUGAUAUUGGCAC